UACGUACGAGGCGAGCGUUAUCCGGAAUUACUGGGCGUAAAGCGCGCGCAGGUGGUGCCCUAAGUUGGGCGUGAAAUCUCCCGGCCUAACUGGGAGGGGUCGCCCAAGACUGGGGCACUUGAGGGCAGCAGAGGUAGGUGGAAUUCCUGGUGUAGUGGUGAAAUGCGUAGAGAUCAGGAGGAACACCGGUGGCGAAGGCGGCCUACUGGGCUGUCACUGACGCUGAGGCGCGAAAGCUCGGGGAGCGAACGGG
rnacentral:rRNA from 1 species